rnacentral:rRNA from 1 species
GUCGUUUAGUGGGGGAUAACGCAUCGAAAGAUACGCUAAUCCCGCAUACGCUCCGUAAGGAGGAAAGGCGCAAGUCGCUUAAAGAGGAGCCUGCGGCCCAUCAGGUAGUUGGAGAGGUAAAGGCUCACCAAGCCAAUGACGGGUAGCUGGUCUGUGAGGACAACCAGCCAGACUGGGACUGAGAACGGCCCAGACUCCUACGGGAGGCAGCAGUAAGGAAUUUUCGUCAAUGGGGGAAACCCUGAACGAGCAACGCCGCGUGGAGGAUGAAGGUUUUCGGAUUGUAAACUCCUUUUGUGAGGGACGAUAAUGACGGUACCUCGCGAAUAAGCCCCGGUUAACUCUGUGCCAGCAGCCGCGGUAAUACAGAGGGGGCAAGCGUUGUCCGGAGUAACUGGGCGUAAAGCGCACGUAGGCGGUUGUGCAAGUGGUGUGUGA